rnacentral:rRNA from 1 species
CUACGGGGGGCAGCAGCAGGGAAUCUUGGGCAAUGGGCGAAAGCCUGACCCAGCGACGUCGCGUGGGGGAAGAAGGCCUUUGGGCUGUAAACCCCUUUUCCAAGGGAAGAGUGAGGACGGUACCUUGGGAAUAAGCUCCGGCUAACUACGUGCCAGCAGCCGCGGUAAUACGUAGGGAGCGAGCGUUACCCGGAAUUACUGGGCGUAAAGAGCGCGUAGGCGGCUGGGUAAGUCUCUUGUGAAAGCUCCCGGCUUAACUGGGAGAGGUCAAGGGAUACUACCCGGCUGGAGGGCAGUAGAGGAAGGCGGAAUUCCCGGUGUAGCGGUGACAUGCGUAGAUAUCGGGAGGAACACCAGUGGCGAAGGCGGCCUUCUGGGCUGUGCCUGACGCUGAGGCGCGAGAGCGUGGGGAGCAAACUGGAUUAGAUACCCCUGUAGUC